GAUGUAGGGCGCAAGCGUUGUCCGGAUUUAUUGGGCGUAAAGAGCUCGUAGGCGGCCUGUCGCGUCGACCGUGAAAACCCGCAGCUCAACUGCGGGCUUGCGGUCGAUACGGGCAGGCUCGAGUUCGGUAGGGGAGACUGGAAUUCCUGGUGUAGCGGUGAAAUGCGCAGAUAUCAGGAGGAACACCGGUGGCGAAGGCGGGUCUCUGGGCCGAUACUGACGCUGAGGAGCGAAAGCGUGGGGAGCGAACAGG
rnacentral:rRNA from 1 species